UACGUCCCUGCCCUUUGUACACACCGCCCGUCGCUACUACCGAUUGAAUGGCUCAGUGAGGCCUCCGGACUGGCUCGAAGAGGUUGGCAACGACCACUUCGAGCCGGAAAGUUCGUCAAACUCGGUCAUUUAGAGGAAGUAAAAGUCGUAACAAGGUUUCCGUAGGUGAACCUGCGGAAGGAUCAUUACCUAGAGUUGUAGGCUUUGCCUACCAUCUCUUACCCAUGUCUUUUGAGUACCUUCGUUUCCUCGGCGGGUCCGCCCGCCGAUUGGACAAACUUAAACCCUUUGUAAUUGAAAUCAGCGUCUGAAAAAACAUAAUAGUUACAACUCUCAACAACGGAUCUCUUGGUUCUGGCAUCGAUGAAGAACGCAGCGAAAUGCGAUAAGUAGUGUGAAUUGCAGAAUUCAGUGAAUCAUCGAAUCUUUGAACGCACAUUGCGUCCCUUGGUAUUCCAUGGGGCAUGCCUGUUCGAGCGUCAUUUGUACCUUCAAGCUCUGCUUGGUGUUGGGUGUUUGUCUCGCCUUUGCGUGUAGACUCGCCUUAAAACAAUUGGCAGCCGGCGUAUUGAUUUCGGAGCGCAGUACAUCUCGCGCUUUGCACUCAUAACGACGACGUCCAAAAAGUACUUUUUACACUCUUGACCUCGGAUCAGGUAGGGAUACCCGCUGAACUUAAGCAUAUCAAUAAGCGGAGGAAAAGAAACCAACAGGGAUUGCCCUAGUAACGGCGAGUGAAGCGGCAACAGCUCAAAUUUGAAAUCUGGCGUCUUUGGCGUCCGAGUUGUAAUUUGCAGAGGGCGCUUUGGCAUUGGCAGCGGUCCAAGUUCCUUGGAACAGGACGUCA
rnacentral:rRNA from 1 species